UAAGGAAUAUUGGUCAAUGGAGGCAACUCUGAACCAGCCAUGCCGCGUGGAGGAUGAAGGCCCUCUGGGUUGUAAACUUCUUUUACAGGGGACGAAACACUUCUAUUCUUAGGAGCUUGACGGUACCCUGGGAAUAAGCACCGGCUAACUCCGUGCCAGCAGCCGCGGUAAUACGGAGGGUGCAAGCGUUAUCCGGAUUCACUGGGUUUAAAGGGUGCGUAGGCGGGCUUGUAAGUCCGUGGUGAAAUCUCUGAGCUUAACUCGGAAACUGCCAUGGAUACUAUGGGUCUUGAAUACUCGGGAGGUGAGCGGAAUAUGUCAUGUAGCGGUGAAAUGCUUAGAUAUGACAUAGAACACCAAUUGCGAAGGCAGCUUGCUACAGAGUUAUUGACGCUGAGGC
rnacentral:rRNA from 1 species